GGACCUGAUGGUGUCAGAAGAAUGAACCCAUUGAACCCUAAACUCCACCUAUUGACUGAAAAUGAGCCCAUAUGAACUGUGGAUGGUAGAACAUGGACAUUUAGAAGAACAUCCAUAGGAACCACAUCUGACCUCAAUCUGCAGAUUAUUGAUGAUUUAUGU